ensembl:lncRNA
GCAGUAAAUUCAGCUAUGUUUGGCAGUCAUAUGUGCUGUCAAGGCUUUCUUUAUUCAUGUGGUCAGUAGAGACAUGGUAGAAAUUGUCAACAACUUUGAAGGCUUCUCCAGAGUGCUUACCAGCAACAGGCGAUUCUGCUGUACACAUUUUAGGGUUCCGUCAUGAAAAGGGUAGUUACAAACAUGUAAGUCGUGAAUUUUCACAAAAUAGUUCCAUUUGCAUUCUUAGAAAUUGAGAACACAUGUGGCUCUCAGGCAAGCCAGUGUGAAAGUGACCAGUCAGAAUUCCAGGGGGGUAUUUGAUGCAAGCUGCACAUUUCUGCACCUUCUCCUUUUUUGUAAUUUUUAACCAAUAUGAAUUGGUCUUUUUUCUUUUUUUCUUCUUUUUUUUUUCUGCAGUAUCAGUGACUUUUCCCCUUGCUGUGUUAUCAACAGUGCAGUCUUUUAAACCGUGGGGAGCUAAAUAUAAUUUAACAGAAACUGAGGCAUUGGCCUUAACAGUGCUAGGAAUUGGUGCAGCUACCAGAGAACAUGUGAGUAUAUGUAUAAGUGCUUUGGGCUUUUUCCUAAUUACUGUUUGUUUAAUGACUCUACUUCAUAACCUUUGGAGCAGGUGCCAAAAUUCCUUUACGUGAAGUUAAACACUAAAGCUGAAAAUUACUUGGUCUCUGUUUCAGCUACUCCCUACCAAGGUUGUCUCUCUUCACCUUAUCUCCUUGGUUCAUUCUUUCCACAUGCAAUGUCUGUGAACAACCUGGAAAUAUCUGAUUUAAUUUUUCACUAUUAGUAUUAAAGUAAUUGCUAAAAUUUCAUAUUUCUAACAGCAGUGAGAAAUAUGAAAGAAUGCAUCCUGUGAUAGUGAUUGGCCAUAUAUGGAGGAUAGAGAAGGAAGGUACAAAGAUGAAGUAAGUUUAUGCUGCUCUGUGGAGCACACUGCAGGUCCAAGAGACAGCCUGGAUAACAUCUGUGCAGAGCAGUGCGGGCUGGACAAUGUGGUCUGUAGAGCACUGGAGGGCUGAUGAAGCUGGUGAAUCCUGUAGCCCAAGGAUGAUUACCCAGCUCCCAUUUUCAUUUUGCUCUGUGGUUUUGGUGCUUCAGACAGUGUUUUGCUCAGUACAGCAGUGCAUGUGUAGACAUGACCCUGCAGUGGCUAUAUGAAGGAGUGAGGUUUGGAGUGGAAAGGUUCCAGGCUUCUCUAAUUGUACCAACUCUACUUGUGCUGCCGUAACUCAAAUGUAAAUAUCGAAAUUCCAGGAAAUCCUGCUGUUAGCAAGCUGCAAGUCACCCUCUCGGUGGCACCAGUGUCACUGCCAGGGGUGCAGGAGGGCUGGAGCUGGGAGCAUGGCUGGCAGGGCAGGUCUGAGGGAACAGCCAGGACUGAGAAUGCUACCAGACAAGAUUAUGGUGCCGAGACAGCUCUGAGGGCAAGGUGUGUCCCGGGGACCAGGGUCAGACAGAGCCCAGGGCCUGCCAGCCUGGCCAUGGUGAUGAAGUCAGGCCCAGGUCAAGCUCAGCCUGCGGGUUCAGGGCCCGGAUCAGUCCACGGCCCUGCACAGCUGCCAUUACCCCUGGGGUGGCUCCGGCAGGGACUGGGGCCAUGUCCUGAGCUGAGAUGGCCCCCAGGGCAGGGCUGAU